CCGCCUCCUCGCGCUCAACCGUGCCGCCGCCGCCGGGCUGCAGCGCCGCCUUCAGGGCUGGCGCCUCCUGGGCCCUCAGUCUUAGCGCUGCUGGAGUGUCUAAUUCGCUCUUUUUACCUGCAUGAGUAUCUCCUUCCUCCAAGUGAAAAGACUACAGCCCACCAGACUCCUCUGUCCAUGGAAUUCUGCAGGCGAGAAUAUUGGAGUGGGUAGCCAUUUCCUUCUCCAGAGGAUCUCCGUGAACCAGAGACUGAACCCAGAGAAAAACAUGUGUUUCUUGGAAUGAGAGAUACAUUUGCUGUGAUGAAGAGCUAUUUGCCAGCUAUUGAAGAUUUUUCCUUCGGAAGCACUGAAAGUAGACACAAGAGCCCUCAAACACCGAGAGAAGAGGUUUCCUUUUGAAAAUGCCCAUGGUCUGCUCUGAGUGGUGAGAUUUUGGAUCACUGUGAAAAUCUACCUUUGUUUAAUGGACUUAUUUAAAUCUGAAGAAUCUCUAUGGGUGCACUCCAAGUUCUCCUCAUGGGGAGAUCUUGGACAUGGCAUUCACUUUUCUUGAGGCAACAUCUCUCAAUAAAUGUAUUUUCCCCUCAAGAACCUGCUGCUUUAAAUCUGUUAACACUUGGUUCAGUAUUCUGUUUCAAUUUCUGUAUCAAAUGCUGGAAUGGAAAAGAAAUGCAAAUCUAUGGUCAGAUGGGUGUGAGAUAUUGGU
ensembl:lncRNA